UCUUGGAAUUUUCCAAAAAGUGUCUGGUGGCUUGACAGCCUCAUUCAUGUUCAAUAGUGUACAGUGAGCUCACAUCUGCAGUCACUAAAAAGUAAUCCUGUUCCCACUGUACACGAUUCAGAACCUGGAGGAUGUCAAUAUUAUCCCUCAGGUAGCCUGGACAAUUGUGGACAAUUUGUUGGAGGUUCCGAUCAAUAUAUUGUGACAAUCGGCUCAAGGUGG